AGCCCGUGACGUGCGGUGUAGCUGGGGAAACGCACCGUGGUUCCCCGUAGGGUCAGGAGAUCCCAAGCCCCAGGCUGGCGUGGGCGAAGCGUACAAUCCCUUCACCUUUCGUCACCCAGAGGCACAAGAAUCCAGUUCGCGCCAACUGAGCUGUUUCUUCCUUCCUCCCCGGCACUCUGGGAGUCCUGAGAUUGCCUUGCUCGGUUCGUAGGUCUGAGCAGCUGGGGGUCCUCCACCAAGGGUGCUCAGAUUCUCCAGGAAACUCCCUUAAGGGUUAGCAACCGCCGAGUAGGUUUCGGUCCCAAGAUAGAAAGGCUACAAGUGCAAAAAGCUGAAUGAAAAAUGGAAAGGUUACUGCUGAAAUAUUUACAGAUGGAAGGAUAUGAUGUCUAGAAUUUGUUUCAAACAAGACGAAGUCUUACUACCAUAGCCCAGGCUGGGCUCAACUGAUCCUCCUGCCUCAGCCUCCCAAAGUGCUGGGAUUACAGGUGUGAGCCACCACGCCCGCCAUCAAGCAUUUACUUAUUGAAACACAUAUCAU
rnacentral:sRNA from 1 species